rnacentral:lncRNA from 1 species
GCUGUGUAAUAGAAGGAGGAGAAUUGGGAGUUCCCAUGGCAAGGCUGAAGCAAAGAGGAAAUGGAAGUUUGGAGAAAAUAAUUGGAUAAUCCUACCUCUAGGAUAGAAGUGG